AUUGAACGCUGGCGGCAUGCCUUACACAUGCAAGUCGAACGGUAACAGGUCUUCGGAUGCUGACGAGUGGCGAACGGGUGAGUAAUACAUCGGAACGUGCCUAGUAGUGGGGGAUAACUACUCGAAUGAGUGGCAAAUACCGAAUGAGAUCUACGGAUGAAAGCAGGGGAUCGCAAGACCUUGUGCUACUAGCGCGGCCGAUGGCAGAUUAGGUAGUUGGUGGGAUAAAAGCGUACCAAGCCGACGAUAUGUAGCUGGUCUGAGAGGACGAUCAGCCACACUGGGGCUGAGACACGGUCCAGACUCCUACGGGAGGCAGCAGUGGGGAAUUUUGGACAAUGGGCGCAAGCCUGAUCCAGCAAUGCCGCGUGCAGGAUGAAGGCCUUCGGGUUGUAAACUGCUUUUGUACGGAACGAAAAGCCCUGGGUUAAUACCCUGGGGUCAUGACGGUACCGUAAGAAUAAGCACCGGCUAACUACGUGCCAGCAGCCGCCGCGGUAA
rnacentral:rRNA from 1 species